ACUCCUACGGGAGGCAGCAGUGGGGAAUAUUGCACAAUGGGGGAAACCCUGAUGCAGCCAUGCCGCGUGUGUGAAGAAGGCCUUGGGUUGUAAAGCACUUUCAGUAGGGAGGAAGGUAGUGUAGUUAACACCUGCAUUAUUUGACGUUACCUACAGAAGAAGCACCGGCUAACUCCGUGCCAGCAGCCGCGGUAAUACGGAGGGUGCGAGCGUUAAUCGGAAUUACUGGGCGUAAAGCGCAUGCAGGCGGCCUGUUAAGUCAGAUGUGAAAGCCCGGGGCUUAACCUCGGAAUUGCAUUUGAAACUGGCAGGCUAGAGUCUUGUAGAGGGGUUAGAAUUUCAGGUGUAGCGGUGAAAUGCGUAGAGAUCUGAAGGAAUACCAGUGGCGAACGGCGGCCCCCUGGACAAAGACUGACGCUCAGAUGCGAAAGCGUGGGAGCAAACAGGAUUAGAUACCCCGUGGUAGACUGUCA
rnacentral:rRNA from 1 species